CCCUCCUUAAGGAAAUCAUGGAUCAUCCCUUGCUCAGUCUCUCUCUGCACCUGGUUGAGAAAUAACUGAUCUAGUUACCAAAGUUUGAUGAAUGAUAACAUUUUCACAUCGUUACAAAUGGACAGCAUGGCUGAUGCCUGGGAAUUAAUCUCUACAAAUCCGCCCAUAAUUUGGCCUGUAUGUGCUGUGUCAAUAAGCCAUUUCCAGUGCUUGGCUUGUCCAACCUCUGGCUGCUGUCCUCCAGCCAGAUGAGUGGAAGGAGGGAUUGAAGCAUCUCCCCAGUCAGAAGCUGCGUCUCUGGCUGUACCACCUCAUUUGAGGACAGUAGCUUCAAGGAUGCUUCAGUGACUGAGGGAUCACCAGACUAAAUUUACACUAAGAGAAAGAUUGUGAGAGUCAGGAUGUUCUUUGAUUUCCUCUAGUUUAACCGUGUAAACGUGUCUUGAAAAUGCUAAUGGUGAAAAUGCUAAUGGUCUGUUAUGCACAAGGUUCACAACUGUUGCUGUUGUCUAAAACUCUGAGUGAGUUAACAUCAUAUAAUUACAUGUGUGUGUGUGUGUGUGUGUGUGUGUGUAUAUAUAUCUCCCACAAACCAACCUCAUGUGAAGAUUGGUUGAUUAGGAAGUCACAUGAUGCUUUAGCUCCAGUUUGUAAAAGCAGCAAAAUUAAAAACAUGGUUAUAAGCCAUUUUUAAAAGAAAUACCUGGAUUGAGUUCUGGAUAUAGUGAUAAAACUAAAAUCUCCGAUAUCUUUACAGAUAAAGAUUUAAUAUUAAUGCAUAUUAAUUGCUUCAAAUAUCUAAAUAUGAAUACUAUUUAAAUUCAUUUUGAUAGACCACAAAUAUUUCAUCUACAUAUGCUCAUAUGGAAAAAGUCUAUCAAGAGGAGGUCAGUAGGUGUGGUGAAAGUAUCUGAACUAAAAUAAUGACAGCGGGUUAAUGCACAAGUAAAAUUAUGUGUGUCCCAAAGCAAAAGAGCAUAAAGAUUGGCCCAAGGUAAUACAUUUAACAAGGCAUUUCUCU